ACUCAGGAUGGGGUCAUGGCUGAGACUAUGAGGGCUGCUCAUGCAUGACCCUGCCUGCUGGCCUCCAUGGGCCCACUAUCUGAAUGCGGUUCCCCUUCUCCCCAGGACCAGGUGCCACCUCCUCUGGGAAGCUUUCCCUGCCCCUCCGCAGGGUAUGCCUCCUUGUUCCUCUCCUGCCAUCAGUUUAUGUGCCUGUCUCCAUCAACAGACCAGGAGCUCCUGAGGACAGGGACUGGGUCUGUCUGAUUCAUCUCUGCAUUCCUAGCACUUACCUAGGUGCUUAGUGAAAGGUCGAACCUGCCUGGGUUCCCACCUUGUCUUUGCUACCCCCAGCUCUGUGAACUCGGAACCAACUACUAAGCCUGCAGCAGCCUCCCAAACUGCCCAGUCUUGUUCAGAUGCACCUCCAGAAACACAGGGGUCCAAAAUGCCUCUUCCCAGACACCCUGAGGAGUAGAACAGUGCCCGCAGGCUCCAGGGAUGAGGGACUAG
rnacentral:lncRNA from 1 species